rnacentral:rRNA from 1 species
AGUGAACGCUGGCGGUAGGCCUAACACAUGCAAGUCGAACGGCAACACAGUAAGAGCUUGCUCUUACGGGUGGCGAGUGGCGGACGGGUGAGGAGUACAUCGCAAUCUACUUUUUCGUGGGGGAUAACGUAGGGAAACUUACGCUAAUACCGCAUACGACCUACGGGUGAAAGCAGUGGAUCUUCGGACCUUUCGCGAUUGAAUGAGCCGAUGUCGGAUUAGCUAGUUGGCGGGGUAAAGGCCCACCAAGGCGACGAUCCGUAGCUGGUCUGAGAGGAUGAUCGGCCACACUGGAACUGAGACACGGUCCAGACUCCUACGGGAGGCAGCAGUGGGGAAUAUUGGACAAUGGGCGCAAGCCUGAUCCAGCAAUACCGCGUGGGUGAAGAAGGCCUUCGGGUUGUAAAGCCCUGUUGUUGGGAAAGAAAAGCAGCAGGUUAAUACCCCGCUGUUCUGACGGUACCCAAAGAAUAAGCACCGGCUAACUUCGUG